rnacentral:lncRNA from 1 species
GAGUGAGAUGAGGGAGGUGGUGGUGGUGGUGGUGGUUAAUGGAGAUAGUGUACAAAAUGUAUCAAAUAUUUACACUUAUAAAUUUUGUGCAUUUGUACAAACUGUACUAAAUUUUUUUAUUGCGGCCACCACCAACGCCACCACCACCACCACCAUGACCACCAAUAUCGUCGUUGCCCCCACUGUUGCCACCCAUCACCACCACCAUUUUCGCUGCCUCCCACCACCACCACCUUUGCUGUUGCCAUUGAUAUAAAAUGUGUUAAAUGUGGUCCAAAGGUGAUUUGAAGUGAAAAAUAUUAAAAUUUCAAAAUUAAGCAUCCAUCUACAAAUACAGUUGCACUUGUUUUUCUCAUAUUUAUAUAUUUACAACAAAUCUAAUAGCAAUGUUGGUGCAGUUAGAAUAUAGACUUUUUAAUCUUUGAAGAGAUUAUUCAUAGAUUAAAAAUGGAGUAUGGAGCGCACUGUUAGAGAUGUCCAAAGUUGGUUAAGCAUUUUAAAAAACAAAGUUACGGGACCAGAUUUUAGGAAGAUUUUAGCAUAAAAUUGUUUUCACUAAAAACACAAAUAUAAUGCAAAGUUAACAUAUUUAAAAAUCUCUCUAAGUCUAGUUUUAAAAAAAGUUAAACAAUGUAGAAUUCGGAGUUGUUUUAUAAAAGAUAUGAUCGUUUUUCCAAAAUGUAUCACAUGGGACUGCACAAACUUGACAAGUAGAUUUUAAGGUAAAUUCAACCUUUAAAAUGUUUUCAGUAGUAAAUAAAUAAAAUAAAAGGUUUACAUAUUUAAAAAUAUUUAUGAGUUUGGUUUACAUUAAAUUAAACGGUGCGCAAUUCUGAAUUGUCUACUAAAAGAUAUAAUCGUUUACUAAAAGAUAUAAUCGUUUCCACAAAGUUUAUCGCAGAGGACUGCACAAAUUCGCAAACUAGAUUUUAGGACAACUUCAACCUAAAAUCUAUUUUCAUUCAAAAAUAAAUAAAAUUCAAGGUUCACAUAUUUAGAAAUAUCUAUGAGUCUGGUUUCAAAAAAAUUAAACGGUGCAUAAUUCUGAGUUGUAUACCGAAAGAUAUGCUCAUUUUUUUAAAGUGUGUUGUAGGAGACUACACAAAUUCAAGAAAUAGAAUUUAAGGCAAUUUUAAUCUAAAAUUGUUGUCAGCAAUAAUAGAAAAUUAUGAAAUGCUUAAAUUGUAUUAAUCAACAAUACAUCUGUAUAUAAUAUAACCUAUAUCUAAGUAAGAAAAUAAAGAAAGAAAUACAUCAAAGAGAAUAAAUUAUGGAUAAUUUUUUAAUCUAAUAUGAAUAGUUUCCUAAUCGAAUUAGGAAAAUCUAUUAAUUUUAACAUUCCCCCUUAAACUGAGGCAAAGAUAUCGACGAGCCCCAACUUGAUAAGAGAUGAUUUCAGCAAUGAGACUUCAAUGAACUUAGUGAAUAUAUCAGCAAUUUGAGUAGAAGAUGGGACAAAACUGGGAGUAAUAACCCCAGAAUGAUUUCCUGAAUGAAGUGAAUAUCAACUUCGAUGUGCUUCGUUCUCUCAUGAAGAACAAAAUCAGAUGAUAACAUAAUAACAGAUUUAUUGUCACAGAACAAGAAAUAUGAGUCUGUCACUGAGAAGCCCAACUCAGUCAGAAGAUAUUGAAGCCAAAGAAACUCACUUGUACCCUAAGCCAUGGUACGGUACUCAGCUUCGGUAGAUGACCUAGAGACCAUCGCUUGCUUAUUACUUUUACAAGAUAUGAGAUGACUAUUAUGAAAAGUACAAAAGCUAGAAGUAGAGCAUUUAUCACUCUUAGACCCCGUAUAGUCAGCAUCAAUAAGCAUGAGAGACCAGACUGGAUUUCGGACUUAUAGAAUAACCUAAGAUCAGGAUACGUCUUAAGGUACCGAAGAAUGUGAUACACAAUAUCUAAAUAAGAGAUAUAUAGUGAGUUCAUAAAUUGGCUCACAACACUAACAACAAACAUGAGGUCAGGGCUUGUGUUUGUCAAGUAAAUAAGGCAAUCCACAAGCCGUUGAUAGAUGGAUGAAUCUAGUAACAAUUCCCCUGACUCAGCCAAAAUCUUCUGAUUUGGUACCAUAGGCGUAAAUAUAGGUUUACACCCAGGCAUGCCUAUAUCCUGAAGAAGGUUAAGAGAAUACUUCCGCUAAGAGAGAGAUAUACCUUGGCAAUUCCCCUGACUCAGAUCCUUAAUGUCAAAAGCCUUCAUGAGGCCUGAAUAAUACCAGAAGCAUCAUCUCCCAUGAUAAUAAUAUCAUCAACACAAACUGAGAUAAUAAUGCAGGCUUACCGACUCUGAGACUGGUAAUAAAUAAAGCAAGUAUGAUCUGAGUGGUACUAAACAAACCCCCAUAAUAAAACUCACCUAACCUCACUAAGUGUUGGAACCAGCCCGAGGAGAUGUUAAGCCAUAGAUAGAUUUUCGGAUCGAUAACCAUUCUUUUGAAACUCCCUCUGCUCUGAAAACCUAGAGUCGGAUCCAUAUAUAUAGUUUUCAGAAAGAUACUAUUAGGAAGCAUUUUUUUAACAUCAAUUAGUGAGAGCCACAAAAGAAGUAGCUAGAAAAAACCAAAUGCGAAUGGUGUUUAAUUUGCAAUUGGGGUAAAAGUGGCACCAAAAUCUUGUCGGUAUGCUGAUUAAAAGCCUUUUAGCAAUAAGCUAAGCUUUGUAUCUAUCAAUCGAGCCAUUCGCUAAAUACUUCACACUAAACACCCAUUUACAACCAACAAUGCGCUUCUCUUUUGGCAAAGUAACAAGAUCCCUAGUCCGAUUGUGCUGAAGGGCAUCCAUCUUGACCUUCAUUGUAGACACCCAUAGAGAAUUCUGAAUAGCUUCAUGGACAAAACAAGUAAUUGAGACCGAGUCCACCCGACUCAAAAAAGACUAAUAGGAGUCUGAAAGACCUUUGGUAAGAUAGAUACUAUGCAAUAGGGUGGUUAGUACUGUUUAAAAGAAGAAAAUAGGAGGGAGGACGACGAACAUGUGUGGGAUAACGGAGAAGAUGCUGGCAGGGGAGAUGGAGCGCACGAACAACGAGGGUACUUCUGUGAGGGGUUGGUAGUAACAAUUAAGGCCAGAUAGCUACUAUGUUAUAGUGGAGAAGAUUCAAGUAUAGGAAGCGAGCGGGGAGGUACAGAAUCCUCCACAAAUAGUUUCGAAGCAAGGGAUGACAGAGGACCUAAGAAGAAAAUUAUGCUCAUUUUCAAAAAAAUUAAACGGUGCAUAUUCGAGUUGUAUACUGAAAGAUAUGCUCAUUUUUUUAAAAAGUGUGUCGUAGGGAAAAAAAAAAAAAAACAGACUACACACAAUUCAAGAAAUAGAAUUUAAGGGCAUUUAAUCUAAAAUUGUUGUCAGUAAUUAAUAGAAAAUUAUGAAAACUAAUUGUAUUAAUCAACAAUACCUCAUAUAUAUCAAACUAAUCUAAGUAAGAAACGAAAGAAGAAAUAAGAAAUGCAAAGAGAAUAAAUAUGCCCGUUUUUCUAAUCUAUUAUGGACAGUUUUCUAAUUGAAUUAGGAAAUGAAUCUCCUAAUUCCAACAGUAAUAAACAACUAAAAUAAAAUUUUUAGAUAUUUAGAAAUAUCAACGAGUCUAGUUUCAAAAAAAUUAAACGAUACAUAGUUUUGAGUUGUAAACUAAAAGAUAUAAUCGUUUUGUCAAAAUGUGUCGCGGGGGACUGUAUAUGCCCAAAAAACAGAUAUUGUGGCAACUUCUAUCUAAAAAUUGCUUUCACUCGCAAAUAAAUAAAAUAAAAUAAAAUUAUAUUUAAAAAUAUCUGUUAGUUUAGUUUUAAAAAAAAUAACCACUGCACAAUUUUAAGUUAUUCACUAUAAUAUAUGGUCAUUUUUUCAAAAUGUGUCAUAGAGGACUUCACAUUUUUAAAUUGGCACACUUGUCUAAAAUCUGCAUGCUUAUACUAAAAUUUGAACAUUUGCACAAAAAAUUGCACCCAUGCGCCAAUUGAGGCAAUUUUUGCACAAUCUGUGGACUAAAGUUUGUACGAUUGUAGAGAAAAAUGUAUGCUUUGAUCAAAAUUUGCACAAUUACAACUAAAUUUGCACCAAUUAUGAUAUUUUUUUAUAGAAUGUAGAUCAAAAUUUGUAAAAUUGUAAAAAAGUUUGCAUCAACUGUGUUAUUUUUCAUAAAAUGUAUAUCAAAAUUUUCACAAUUGUAGAAAAAUAGGUACACUUGAACCAAAAGUUGCGAACUUUGACCAGAAUUUUUAUACUAGCACUAAAAUUGACAAAAUUAUACUAAGUGUACCAAAAUUUGCAUACUUGUAACAAAUUUGUACCGUAUAUUUUUAUAUGUAGAGUGUAGAUCAAAAGUUGCACAAUUGGACAAAAGUUUCCUAAAUGUAUCAAAUAUUGCAAAUAAUUUAGACUAAAAUUUGCACCAUUAGACUACAAUUUGCAAACUUGCAUUAAUUAUAUUAAAUUUGUACAUUUAUACUAAAUGUAUCAAAUUUUGUAUAUUUUUUAUUUUAUAUACUUUUUUAUUCAAUAUAGAUGUCAUUUAAUAUAUCUCGAUGAACACGUUCUAAAAUAUAGUAAUUUUUAUUAAAAACAUAUGUUGACACAAAAGUUAUAUUAAUUUCUUUAUUAUAAUUUUCACUCUUUCUUUAUUGUGAUAAUGUUUUGUUAAAUGUAAGGCAGAAUUUGCACACUUGCACCAAUUGAAACAAUUAUUACACAAAUGUAGAUCAAAAUUUGCACAAUUAUUUAAAAAAUUGCACACUUUGAUCAAAAUUUGCACAUUUAUAUCAAAAUUAGCAAAUUGUAUUAAAAUCUUCACACUUAAACCAAUAUUCAACCAAUUGAAGAAAAAUUUGCACUUAUUUCAAUCAACAUUUGCAUAAUUAGAACAAAAUUUGCAUACUUGCACCAAUUGUACCAAAUAUGCACAUUUGUACCAAUUGUGCUAAAACUUGCACACUUUUUAUUUUAUAUAAUUUUAUAUUCAAAAUGAAUUUAGUUAAUAGAUCUCGAUGAACAUGUUUCAAGCAUACAAUUUUUUAUUACAAACAAAUGUUUAUAACAAAAGUUAUAUUAAUUUAUUUGCUAUAGUAUUUUCUCUUUUUUUAUCAUGACAAUUGUUUUGUAUAUGGAAGGCAAAAUUUGCAUAACUGAACAAAAUUAGCGCACUAGAACCAAAUUUAAACACUUAUAACAAAAUGUUCACUAAUUGUGACAACUGUUUCACACAAUGUAAACUAAAUUUGUGCACAAAUAUAUAAAAUUUGCACAUUUGCACUUAAAAUUGAACAAUUGUAGUAGUUUUUGUACACUUGCACUAAAAAAAUUUCACUCUUGUGCCAAUUUGGUACAAUAUUUUCUCUGAAUAUAGGCAAAAAAAUUGCACAAUUAUAACAAAAAAUUAAACACUGGAACUAAAAUUUGCACACUUAUUCCAAAAUUAGAAAAAUUGUACCAAUUAUAUCAAAAUCUAUACACUUGAAAAUAAUUUUCACCAAUUAAGAUAUUUUUUAUAUUAUUUGGACUAAAAUUUACAUAAUUUUAUAUACGUUUGGACUAAAAUUUGUACAAUUUUAACAAAAUUUGUAAGUUUGGACCAAAAUUUGUAUACUUGCACAAAUUGUACCAAAAAUUCACAUUUGUACGAAUUGUACCAAAAUUUAUAUACUUUUUAUUUUACAUAAUUAUAUAUUUAAUAUGUAUCUUAUUAAAUAAAUCUCAAUGAACACGUUUUAAAAAUAUAAUUUUUAUUAAAAAUAAGGCUUAAUUUCCCAAAUACCUCUCAAAUUAUCUUUUUUUGUCACUUUCACCCUCUCAUCUAAAAAGUAAAUCGUAUUGACUCAUUAACUAUUUAAUUAUAUCACAUACACCCCUUCCGUUACUAAUUUAUUUAAAAUAGUGAUAGAAAUUAUUCAUGUAUUUGUUCAUAUGUUUUAAUUAAAUAUCCUAUAUCUAAAAUAUCAUUCUUUUUUGUGAAAAAUAAGUCAAUAAUCUAUAUAUUGACUUAUAUAAUCAUUGUGAAAACAAACCUAACUUUUAUUAAUAAACAUUUAUAUAGAUAGUUUACUUAUUUUUCACAAAAAAAUAAGGAUAUUUUAGAUAUAAAGGCAUAUAAUUGAAGCACAUGGAUAACAUAUGAUCGAUUUUCAUAACUAUUUCAUACAGAUUAGUAAUAAAUAGGGUGUAAAUGAUACAAUUAAAUAAUUAAGAGGGUCAAUAUAAUUCACUUUUUAAAUGAGAGGGUGAAAGUGACAAAGACAAUAGUUUGGGUGUCUUAGAGAUUUAAGCCGAAAAAUAAAUGUUUACAGCAAAACUUGUAUUAAUUUAAAGAUCGAAGUACAAAAAAUUAAAUAUAGGUACAUUUAUAUGGACAUACUUAGGUGGUGUCAUGCGACUUUCCAUUCUAAUUUUUAAAAUAAUAGAUGAGUGAGUGCAUUUAAAUAAACUUACAUGAGAAAACGAUACCGUAUCAAGUUUUAGGUGGAGAACUUAAGCACGGUAUGUUGCAGGAAGUGUACCGACCUGCCGUUAGAAAAGAAGAGAAGCCCGUAAAAGGCAGCCACCACACACAAACCCUUAGACGUCGGAUUUCGCCUUAAUUGAAACUCCCACACCGCCGCCUCAUCUGUAAUACCAGGUCCCAUCUUCACUCUUUUUCUUGUUUCACGUUAUACUAAUUUUGUUGAGCGGUAAAAUUCCCACAUGCUAAUGAUCUGAGAUGGGCACGUCGCCUAAGAAGACAAUGUAUUCAACGUCUCUCUUGGUCGCCACUGAAUUCACCCAAGUACCCCUAACGUCCUCCUCUUUCCACAGAUCUCGCAUUACUCUUAGCCGAGGUGGUUCAUAUCGCCCUUCACAUUGAGAAUGAGACGAACAUGAGACUCCACCUCCAUUGGUUCUCGCAUCGCCAAUCGUCAAUUUCAUAAUGGUUCAGUAAGCUCGCCAUCAAUCUCCACCUCGCCCGUCACUCUGAGGAUGAGAUGACCUUAAAACUCCUUCUUCACCACGUCUCCUACAUUCACGGUACAUUUUUCAUAUGGCAUUCUCUUCCUUUUACUCCGAAAUUCUCGAACACGGCUUUCAUACUUGACCACCCAAUGAUUACACCUUGAUUUUCUCGCACGGCUCUCUAUUCUCCUUCUAUAAAAAGUUGCUCACCCUCCACCAUAAAGGGUAACUACUCUCUCAUUCUUGAGCUUUAAUUUUAAUUCUUGUUCUACUCUGUCUAGUUUUUUCAUCUCAAUCUCAUAUCCAUGACGGCGGGGUUUGUAGUAGUGUUACCCCGGUUGGUAACGUUUGUUCUUCUGCGCAGGUUGCCGAGGUCAUUACUGAGCUUCAAGAGUAAUUCUGACUAUUGAUUGCUAAUCCCAUAUUUCUACCACAAUAGUUUGGCAUCGUUUGUGGAAACGACAGUUCUCAAUACUCUAUGUACAUGCGUAGCCGCUUAUUAUCUAGAUCGAGUACAAGCGGCCCUCUAGAUAAUAGAGCACGUCCAAUGGCUAACAUUAGUCAAACUCCAGAUCUGGAAGGCAUCAAUUGUUUGAUGCAUGGAAUUUCGAGUAAAUUAGGAUCAUGAAUGAGAUCAAUGCCCACCUAGUACAACACCUCGCCACGAACAAUCCACCUCCUCCCAUUGUACUAGUUUCGAAAGAUGCUGAAUGAUUUUCCCACUCUCGUCGAUCGAGCAACCAGGAUUCUCAUAGUCGCCAUAGCAGGAAGUUGUCUUUUCAACAACUUUAAAAGGGCCAACGAGAUCAUGGUUCAGAAAGUUGUCUCCUAAAACCAUUGAUUCAUUCGGCGACCUGAGUAGGCAUUUUGUCGCCAAUUUUAUGAGCUGCAGAGUCAGGCAGAUGGAUGUCUCCCACCUUUUCACAGUCCAUCAAAAGGAUGAGGAGAACUUGAAGGAUUACGUCAAGCAUUUUAAAUAGGUUGUCCUGAAAGUUGAGGAUCGUAGUGACAAUGUGGUGGUCAUGGCAAUGAUGGAGGGUCUUCGUCCGGGGCCGUUAUUCGAUUCCCUCUCCCAAAGUGUCCCUUAGACAUUGUCAGCACUUCAGUGCAAGGUCGAUAAGUACAUUACAGCUGAAGAGUUGGCUGAGGCCAAACAUAGGAGGUGAAAAAGGGACGACCACAAAAGGAAGGAGCCUGAUACUCGGCAAACGGACUAUAAGGGCGAGGUGAAUAAUAAAAGCUCUAAGCGAGAUGCAAGGGGCGAAUUAAUGAACAACGUCCUCACACUCCACCUCACCGACCUGACUUGGUGUUGCCUUCUCUCAACGCCCCCAUAGCCUAGGUGCUCAUAGAGAUCAAGAAUGAAGACUUUGUGAAGUGGCCUGGGAAGAUCAAGACCAACCCCCUAGGAGGAAUAAGAAUAAGUUCUUUGAGUUCUACAAGGAUCACUAUCACAAUACAAAAUAUUGCUUUCAAUUGAAGGAGCAGACAACCGACCUGAUUAAGAGAGGAUAUUUGAGAAAGUUUGUAGCUAAUUGCCUGCGGCCCGACUCGCCUAAUAAGGGAUAUGUUGACAAUAGGCCAAUAGCAGGUGAUAUCCCAACUAUCCAUAGGGGGUUUAGAUUAGGAGGAUGUUAUAGCUCAUCUCAUAAAAGGCACGCUAGAGAGGCUAAUGAGCGAGCAGAGGAGGAGGUUUACAACAACUUCUCCACGCCUACGUCUGAAGCUCUUCAACCCAUCAUCUUCACCAAUGAGGAUUUGAGAGGAUUGCACAUCCCCCAUGAUGCAUUGGUCAUAUCUACCAUAAUCGCCAAUUUCAAUAUGUAGAUGAUCUUGAUUGACAAUGGGAGCUCCGCUGACAUUCUAUUCAUCUCAGUAUUUGACAAGAUGACAAUAAGGCGAGAUAGGCUCCACCCAUUUCACACCCCUCUAGUCGAAUUUGGAGGAAAUCCCCUCAAAUGGAUUAAAUUGCCCUUAACCUUGGGGGCAAAACCUCACCAAACUAUAGUAUGGCAAGAUUUCAUAGUCAUGGAUAACCCUUUGCCGUACAAUUCGAUCUUAGGUCACCCCACCUUGGGAAGAAUCAAAGCCAUUACCUCUACCUAUCACUUGAUGAUGAAGUUUCCUACGUCGAUUGGGAUAGGUGAGGUAAGGGGUGACCAGAAAGUUUCCAAGCAAUGCUUCAUAAUGGCGAUGAAGACCAACUACAUUCCAAAACCCAACACUAAAAUAACAACUACAAAUAGAUGAUCCGAGAUGGAAGCGCUGGGGGACAAAGUAGGAAAUACGCCCCUUGUUGACCCUUGAGAAACAAAAAACACCAAGCCUCUAAAGGAAAUGGCUCUAAUUUUUAUACAUCUCAACUACCCAGAUCGCCAUGUCAUGAUCAGAACUGAAUUGAUUGAGGAGAUGUGAAAGACCUGCGUACAAGGUGAUGUUCCAGGGAUAGAUCCUCAGAUUGCCGUACAUAAGUUGUUCACUGACCCUGAUCAUCCUCUAAUUUUUCAAAAAAGAAGGAAAUUUGCUCCUAAAUAUUUGCAGUUCAUAGAGGAAGAAGUGGCUAAACUCAUCAUGGCUAAUGUCAAUAGAGAAUCCCAUUACCCAGAUUGGUUGGCUAACGUCGUCGUCGCCCCUAAAAAAUGGAGAAAGUGGAGAGUAUGUGUUGAUUUUACUGACCUAAACAAGGCCUGCCCUAAAGACAGUUUUCCUCUGUCCAAGAUUGAUCUGAUCGUUGAUGCAACCUUAAAGCAUGAACUCCUUAGUUUCAUGGAAGCCUUCUCAGGGUAUCAUUAGAUCAGAAUGCAUCCUUCCGACGUAGAGAAAACUUCUUUUGUCACAGUAAGAGGAUUAUAUUGCUACAAGGUCAUGCCUUUUGGAUUGAAGAAUGUAAAGGUGACGUACUAGAGAAUGGUCAACAAGAUGUUCAAGAAAAUGAUUGGAAAAACGAUGGAGGUCUACAUAGAUGACAUGCUGGUCAAAAGCCUCAGAACAGCUGAUCACGUCGCCCACUUAGAAGAAACGUUCGGUAUCCUACAAAAAUAUCGCAUGAUGCUAAAUCCUUCUAAAUGCAUCUUUUGCGUAUCGUAAAGGAAAUUCCUUGGUUUCCUAGUGACUAAACGAGGAAUUGAGGCAAAUCCCAACCAGAUUCAAGCCCUACUCACGAUAAGCCCGCCCAGGAACAUAUAUGAGGUGCAACAAUUGACCGAGUGAGUAGCCACUCUUAACAAAUUUGUCUUAAAAUCGAUAGAUAAAUAUUUACCAUUCUUCAAGAUCUUGAGAAAAACAAGGCCUUUGAGUGGCAGACGAAUCCAGAUGGCCUUCUAGCAGCUUAAAGAGUAUCCUGGGCCGCCCCCUCUACUCACAAUUCCUAGCAUGGGCAAGCAGCUCAUCUUAUAUCUAUUCGUGUCACCCACUGCAGUGAGUGCGGUGCUUAUCAGGGAAGAAGACAAAGUUCAUAAGCCAGAGUACUAUGUCAACAAAGUCCUCAUAAGAGCUGAAACUAGAUACCUGAAGAUCGAGAAGCUCGCCUAUGCUCUUGUGAUCGCCUCAAGAAAGCUUUGUCACUAUUUUUAGGUACACCCUAUUGUUGUACUUACAAAUCAGCCCUUGAAGCAAAUUCUCCAACUACUUGAUACCUCUGGGCAAUUACUCAAGUGGUCCAUUGAGUUGAGUGAGUUCUACAUCAAUUAUCGACUAAGGAUGGCGAUCAAUGCCCAAGCAUUGGCUGAUUUCAUAGUCGAGUUCACUUAUGAUGUUGCUCCAAGUCUAGAGAUGGAAGCCCCAAAAGAAUAGAACCAGGACGAUGAUCUCUCUAGGUAGAAGUUGUUUGUAGAUGGGUCAUCCAACCAACAUGGCUGUGGUGCAAGACUUAUUCUCCAGACACCUUCAGGAGAGUAAAUGGAAUAUGCCAUACGUAUUGGGUUUAAAGCCACCAACACAAGGCAAAAUAUAAAGCUCUCUUUGUCGGUUUAAGGGUCCCGACUAAGUUGAAAGUGAAAUCCUUGGAUGUUUACAGUGAUUCUCAACUUGAAGUGAAUCAAGUCCAAGGGAAUUACCUUGCCAAAGAUCUCCGAAUGAUGGUUUAUCUGGAUAAGGUGAAGGCCAUGUCAACGAAGAUCAAAGAUUUCAAGAUUCGCCAAAUCCCAAAGAAGAGAACAAGAAGGCUGAUGCCUUGGCUAACUUAGCCUCAGCCUUCGAUUUCAUCUUGAAUAGGAGUGUCCCUCUGUAGUUCUUGCCAAAUCCAAGUAUAAACAUCACCAAAACCAUCUAUCAUGUAGUAGCAGAUUCGACGUGGAUGGACGACAUUAUUUCAUAUCUUAAAGAUGGGAAGUUGCCAUCAGAUAAGCUCCAGGCACAGAGAAUUCAGUAUCGGUCAACUAUGAUUUGCCUUCUCCAUUGAACUUUGUAUAAGAGGUCUUUCUCAAGACCAUCUUGAGAUGUCUCCGACCUGAGGAGGAAGAUUACUUGCUUAAUGAAAUCCAUGAAGGCAUCUGCAAAAAUCAUUCAAGGGCAAGAUCAUUGGUUAGAAAGGCAGUUCGCCAAGGAUAUUUUUGGUCUCAGAUGGAACGAGAUGCGAUGAAAUUCACCAAAAAGUGUGACAAAUGCCAGAUGUUUGCUCUAGUUAGUCAUCUCCCUCAUACUGAAAUGGUGACAAUGACCAACCCAUGGCCAUUUGCUUAAUGGGGGAUAGAUGUACUUGGACCUCUACCUCAAGCUCCACUAUAGAGAAAAUUCUUGAUGUCGCCAUAGAUUACUUCAUGAAGUGGAUAGAGGCGAAACCUCUCGCCAAAAUCACCGAGAAGAACACCAAGAAUUUUGUUUGGAAAAACAUCAUUUGUCAAUUUGGGAUUCCAAAGCUUAUAAUCUCGAACAACACGAGAUAAUUUGACAACAACGGCUACAACCAUUUUUCCUCACCUGGUCAUCCUCAGGAAAACGGUUAAGUGGAAGUCAACAACAAAAUGAUCUUGAGAAAUCUGAAGGCAAUGUUGGAAAAAUCCAUAGGUGAAUGGGCAAAAGACCUUCUAAGUGUAUUAUGGGCCUACCACACAACGAACAGGAUCCCUACGAGCGAGAUGCCAUACUCCCUAGUAUAUGGGAAAUAAUCAGUCAUACUAGUGGAGAUAGGAAUGCCUAGCUUCAAGACAUAAAAUUUCAAUAAGGAGAACAAUGAAGCAAAGCUAAGGCUUAACCUUGAUCUCCUUGACAAAAAGAGGGAGCGAGCUGAGGUGCGCUAAGCUACCUACAAGUAUUAGGUCACCAAGUACUAUAACUAGAGGUUUAAGAAUAGGCCAUUCUUGCAUGGCGACUUAGUUUUAAGGAAAGUCAUUUUGUCUACAAAGGAGCUUAAAAUUGGGAAGCUCAGCCCUACGUGGGAAAGUCCCUACAAAGUUAUCGAGGUUUCUAGGCCAGGAACUUAUUAUCUAGAAGACAUGAAAGGCAAAGCACUACGUCAUCCCUGGAAUGCUGAACACUUGAAGAAGUAUUACCAAUAGUUCUAUUUGGUCAUCAUUUGAUGAAGGUCGCCUAAGCAACGUUAUAUCGCCAAAAUCCUAUUUUGUUAAAGACAAGUGGUUGUGACGCCAAUGAUGAUGGUGUCAAAUAUCCUAGAGGGGAGAUUAACGAAGUAAGGUCGACUCGACAAACAGUUUUGUUUGUCAUCCUGAAAUAUGAGGACAUACAAUGCAUUGCACACAAAAAGCACGUAUAACCAAUCGAUCCUUUUUUCAUCUCCCACAAUAUAAUCAACUCCUUACCAUAAAAUGAAGUAUUUAACCCCACCGAUCCUCUAAAUCUCACAUACAAACCAAUAACCACCAAUAAGCAAUUAAGCACAACGCUUAACCACCUCUAAAUUGGCCUCAUAUCUAAACAAAUGCCUAGGCCCCAAAAAUUAUACAUCCCAAAAUUUUAAGAAUAUCUAAUUAAUUAUGAUUCAUGAUAAAUGGAAAUGGACCACGAUAAAUAUGAAACAUGUACAAUGAAGUUACUAUUUGGAAAUUUAAUAACGUUUAUCUAAGUAGUAAAUAGUCAUAAUUUCUACUCCAUUGCUCGAAGACUUUUAUACUGCCCGACGGGGGGGGGGUUGCACAGUUCAACCCUCAUUUUUCUCGCUGGAGGGAAGAUGUACAUCCUGAAAUUUUAAGAUAUCUAAUUAAGUAUGAUCGAUAUAUAAAGGACCAUAAAUACCAACUAGUGUAAAAUACUUUUAUUCAUGGUGAAAUUAAUGUAUGUUUAGGUGUCUUUGUAUUAGUAAACUUUUUCGAGAAUUUUUAUGAAAAUAUGAUUUGUCCCGAAAAGAUUUUUUGUAAAAAUAAUAUAGAACAAUGGACACGUUUAUAAGCAUAUCAUAAUGACCCCUGUGUAUCAAUAAGGCCACACCACACGCCAUUGAUGGAUUUGAGUGAAAAACCAUCCUCAAGUAACACAACCCAUCCCACAAGAACGGCCCAUGCCUCAAGUACCAAGCCCAUGCCAUAAAGGACAUAGUGGUAAGAUCCCAAAACUUUUAUGAAUAUUUUAAAUUUUCCUCAAUUAAUAUAUAUAUAUAUAUAUAUAACAUAUACACGUUAUUAUAUAUGACCGAUAUAUACGAAAUAGUAUAAUAAAUAUAUAUAUAUUUUAUCUAUGUGCAAAUAAGAUAUAAUUAUAUUUCCAAAUAUUAAAAUGAUGAUUCUCGAUAAUUUUUAAAACGAAAAUAGAUUUUUUUUUGUUGAAAGAUUAGCAGAAAAAAACAAAUAACAGUCAGAGUAUGUUAUGAAUAAAUUAUGUGGAUCAAUAAGGACCAAAUGUAUAUAACUCAACCAUGUUGUCAUUAUUUGAAUCAAUCAAUCAUACCCAAAAUCUCAAAUCCCACAAAUCCCCCAACCAUUCAACCAUUUUCCCCCACCCCAUACCUGCCCUAGCUGAAAUGCUGGGACUGGACAUGCCAAGAGAGAGAGAAAAGAGAAAGGAGAGAAUUAAGUAUAGGGAGAAAAGAUAGAAAGAGAAAGAGAAGGAUUGCUUUUAGAGCAAAAGAGAGAGGAGGGAGGAAGAAGAAGAAAAAAAAGGAGGAAGAAGAAAGGAAAAAGUUUAGAAAUUCACCAACGAUUUUUACAAGGUAAAUUCACAAUUUUUCUUUGUUUCUUUAUGUAUUUUUUUUGAUUUAAAAAGUGUCUAAAUGCCCUAGUAGGGAGUGUUAUGCUCUAUCCUAGUUAAAAUUCAAAAAUAUCAUGAAAAUAUGGCACGAAGACACCAUUUUUGGAUCAAGAAUCAAACCAUGUUACGCUAUGUUUUAUUUCAAAAACUAACGUUCGUAUUUUAUCCAUCUUCUUAUACGAAAAUAUUUGAGUCGAUUCAACUUUCUUGGAUAGCUAUUUCCAAAAUACCUACAAAUUUUUCCUUCUAAUAGCAUUUUUCAAAUUCCAACAUUAGAUGCCCAAAACGGGUUCGAAGUUUGAUAGAAACACUAAUUUCUAGAUUUUUUUUCCGUUCACCGGUUGAACUAUUUUAAUAGCUACUUAUCAUGCCCAACCAGUUGAACUUUUCUUUCUCAACCGGUUUAACUUUUUCAACUGUUUGAACAUUUUCAAUCGGUUGAAGGUUCACAGAAACCAUCUUUGAACAACAAACAUCCAUGGUUAGCCUAAUACUUAAUAAAUAAACUUAAUUCACCUUAUAAACACUUAAGUAAAGGUUUGUAAUACUAAUCCAUAUCAAUAAAUGAAACACUAGAAUUAAUUGCGACUAGCCUAGGAACACGACGAACGGUGUUAGCGCAACACAAUAGAAAUAGGUAAGUAACCCUACUCUCUAAGGUAGUGUAAGUAACCCUACUCUCUAGGUAUGUAAGUAACCUUAAUCUCUAAUUAGAGUAAAUUUACUCGUUUAUGCUAUAUAAAAUAAUGUAUGAAAUUAUAGUUACAUUAUGCAAAUCAUUCAGGCUAGUGAGAUCUGUUUAAAGAUUUGUAUGUAUAUGCCUAUGUACAUCAUAUUUCUUACCUUUCGAGAAGGUACUCGACCGCAAUAACCCGACUCAAGGGGUGUGGAACACGUUAUCAAACCUGACUGAGGACGGAGUCAUGUGCAUAAUGUAUGUUUCAAGAAUU